rnacentral:rRNA from 1 species
UACGAAGGGGGCUAGCGUUGUUCGGAAUUACUGGGCGUAAAGCGCGCGCAGGCGGUCUUCCAAGUCAGUGGUGAAAGCCCGGAGCUCAACUCCGGAACUGCCAUUGAAACUGUUGGACUUGAGGAUGAGAGAGGUGAGUGGAAUUCCCAGUGUAGAGGUGAAAUUCGUAGAUAUUCGCAAGAACACCAGUGGCGAAGGCGGCUCACUGGCCCGGUACUGACGCUGAGGAGCGAAAGCGUGGGGAGCGAACAGG